UACCAGCACCCCGAGUGGUCGGGACGUUUAUUGGGCCUAAAGCAUCCGUAGCCGGUUCUACAAGUCUUCCGCUAAAUCCACCUGCUUAACAGAUGGGCUGCGGAAGAUACUAUAGAGCUAGGAGGCGGGAGAGGCAAGCGGUACUCGAUGGGUAGGGGUAAAAUCCGUUGAUCCAUUGAAGACCACCAGUGGCGAAGGCGGCUUGCCAGAACGCGCUCGACGGUGAGGGAUGAAAGCUGGGGGAGCAAACCGG
rnacentral:rRNA from 1 species